GAAAUUAAUAACUAUAGGUCACCGAACGGCCUUCAACAACGAGCAAAGCCCAUACCGAAUACUCAGCUUUUAAAGGGCCCAAAAUGACGAUGUAAAACAAUUCAAACGAGAAAACUAGCGGACAUAUUUAUGUACAAAAAAUGAACGAAAAACAAAUAUGUAACACAUAAACAGAGACAUAUAAUACUUUUAUAUGUCUCUGACAUAAACAAACGACAAC
rnacentral:lncRNA from 1 species